rnacentral:rRNA from 1 species
CCUACGGGAGGCAGCAGUGGGGAAUAUUGCACAAUGGGGGAAACCCUGAUGCAGCGACGCAGCGUGAGUGAAGAAGGAAUUCGGUAUGUAAAGCUCUAUCAGCAGGGAAGAAAAUGACGGUACCUGAGUAAUAAGCACCGGCUAACUACGUGCCAGCAGCCGCGGUAAUACGUAGGGGGCAAGCGUUAUCCGGAUUUACUGGGUGUAAAGGGAGCGUAGACGGGAUUGCAAGUAUGUAGUGAAUGCCUGGGGCUCAACCCCAGGACUGCACUGGAAACUGUACGGCUGGAGUGCAGGAGAGGUAAGUGGAAUUCCUAGUGUAGCGGUGAAAUGCGUAGAUAUUAGGAGGAACACCAGUGGCGAAGGCGGCUUACUAGACUGUAACUGACGUUGAUGCUCGAAAGCGUGGGGAGCAAACAGGAUUAGAUACCCCAGUAGUC